AUACAUGCAAAAAUGCCCCGAGCACAGCGAGGGGUGCAUCUAUUAGACUAAAACCAAUACGGGCCUGUGGCUCGUGCAAAGGUGACUCUGAAUAGCUAAGCUGAUCGCAUGGUCUUGUACCGGCGACGUGUCAUUCAAGUGUCUGCCCUAUCAACUUUCGAUGGUAGUUUAUGUGACUACCAUGGUUGUAACGGGUAACGGAGAAUAAGGGUUCGACUCCGGAGAGGGAGCCUGAGAAACGGCUACCACAUCCAAGGAAGGCAGCAGGCGCGCAAAUUACCCACUCUCAGUUCGAGGAGGUAGUGACGAAAAAUAACAAGACCGUUCUCGUAGAGGCCGGUUAUUGGAAUGGGUGUAACUUAAAACCGUUAACGAUUAACAAUGAGAGGGCAAGUCUGGUGCCAGCAGCCGCGGUAAUUCCAGCUCUCAAAGUGUAUAUCGUCGUUGCUGCGGUUAAAAAGCUCGUAGUUGGAUCUUUGCUGAGCAUGCCGGUGCGCCGACUGGCGUUUACUGGUGUGCGACGCUUGUGAUGUCGGUUUUGCUCUGAUUGCCUUGAGUGGCUGUAAGGGCUGGCUGGCGAGUUUACCUUGAAAAAAUUAGAGUGCUUAAAGCGGGCGUACGCUUGAAUAUUCGCGCAUGGAAUAAUGGAAUAGGAUUUCGGUUCUAUUUUGUUGGUUUUCUGAGCCGAGAUAAUGGUUAAGAGGGACAGACGGGGGCAUUCGUACCGCUACGUGAGAGGUGAAAUUCUUGGACCGUAGCGAGACGUCCGACUGCGAAAGCAUUUGCCAAGAAUGUUUUCAUUAAUCAAGAACGAAAGUCAGAGGUUCGAAG
rnacentral:rRNA from 1 species